rnacentral:lncRNA from 1 species
CAAUGAACUAGUCACAACAGUCUUUCACCAGGUGACCUAAUCCAAAAUAUGCAUCCCAACCAUGUUUGUAAGAGCUUUCAUCCACCUAUAGGCAAGGUUCACCACCCGGUGAAUUUCAGCUGUAUUGUUUUUGACGUAUUUGCACAUUUAUUUGAUGCACAUUUGAAAUUUCCUUUGGUUUGUUAUAUGUUUUAUGUCAUAAGUAACGU